GCUCCGGGCGCCGGCGAACGGGCGGGCAGGCUGGCUGGCGGGAGGAUGUGCGCGCGCGAGUGUGCGUGUAUCUGCGUGUGUCCCUGGUUGGGCUGCACACAGUGCGGGGAUCCGGAGCUCCAUUUUAACAUGAGGAAACCUCCAGCCACCAUCCUCUUUUGCCGGGUUGUUCGCACAGCUUGCUAACCGGUCUCCCAGCUUCCACCCUUGGCUCCUUGCAGUUCAUCUACACAGCAGUCAGAGCCGUCUUUUUAAAACGUAAAGAGCUGACCUGUGCUGAAGGGGAGAGCCUUUCUGGGAUUGAGUGAUGCCAGGAGACACUUCUCUGUUCUCUGAGUCGGGAGAAGUGUGCAGGAGAUGGUGUGAAAGCUGGUGACCAAGCAAGGCUUAUCAAGAUCCUGGAUAGAUCUUGUAAUUUCCUGUGCAGGAACUGUGGGCCAGUAGGAGCCCAGAGCUGUUUGAGAUAUGACUCCUUACCAAGACGUUUCUCAUCAUUUGCCCCACUUCCACUCACGUGUCAGCCACUCCCAUCCUACCCCUGUGUGGUCAUCCUCUCGGUAAGUGCUCGCUGUUGUGGCGCCUGAGUGGACAACUGUGAGCCUGGGGAGCGACGUCAAGCAAUGUGAGUUUGCACCGUGAUGCUUUAAAACUGAAGAAUAAAGUUUAUCAUAGAGCAAAAGUUCACUGUGGCCUAAACCCACUUUUUUGCUUGUUAGUUUUAAUUCUCACAGUAUUAUGCAUUCAUGUAUAUAAUUUUUUCCCAACUGAUAGAGAAGUAGAUGCAAGGAAACAGUCUCCCCGAAUCCCAUUCUCCAGAGGCCACCCAUUCUUAUUUCCUUUAUAUUGUUAGCUCUGAACCCUAAACUUACAAUUACAUGUUUAAUUGAUCAGCAUUAAGAAGUGGAUCAGUUGACUUCCCAUGUAAAACGUAAGGACUUCAGCAUACAUAAUAUUCUUCUUUUUCCCCUCUUCCACUUUAUAUAAUUUUAGAAUGUAUUUUUAUUUGGUGUAAAUAUUAAAAAUUUAACUCAUAUCUCCUAUAUUUUCCUUUCAUGUGCCUCACACUAGUCAAAUUAACUUAUUAUUUUUUUGAAGUGUCAUUUGAAUUGGAAACUAUUUCAGAUAUUCAGAAAGUUCUUCAAUGGGCUGAAUUGUGCCCCUCCCCGACAAUUUCAUAAGCUGAAGUCCUCACUCCCAGCAUCUCACAAUGUGACUACUGGGAGACGGUCUUUAAAGAGGCAAUUAAGUUAAAAUGAGGUAAUCACGGUGGGCACUUAUCUAACAUGACUGGUAUCCUAAUAAGAAGGUUAGGAUGCAGAUACACGCACAGGAGGAAGAUCACGUGAGGGCCAGGAAGAAGAUGCCAUCUAUUAGCCAAGGAGAGAGGCCUCACAGCAUACCAACACCUUGAUCUCAGAGUGCCAGUCUCCAGAACUGUGAGAAAAUAAACUCUUGUUGUUGAAGACACCCAGCUGUGGUACUUCGUUACGGCAGCCCUGAGAAACUGACAGAGACCUUCGGUGGCCCAGGCCUUAUUUCAGGCGAUGGAAUGUCAGUGUGGAAGACAACCGUGAACUAGAGCAUGGCCUUUUGGCGCUUAUCCUCGAAGGUCUGGACACGUUUCCUCAGAUGGUAAAUACAGGCAGAGAAGAGAGGGAGUCUGAAGGGGCCUUCACUUGUUGGGAGUCUGGAGGAGGAGUUGGAUUCAGACAGCCGUGUGUAGGGAAACUGAUCAGUGAAACAGGAGUCUCAGAAUUAGACCCAAAUGCAUAUGGGAAUUUAGUAUAUGAUUAAAAAAUGUAUGUUAAAGUAGUGGGUGUAAUGUGAACUAUUCUGUGAAUGGAAUUGGGAUAACGGGUGGUCAUCCAAAAUAAAAUAAAGUUGAAAACAUACUUUAUAUAUG